AGUGAACGCUGGCGGUAGGCCUAACACAUGCAAGUCGAACGGCAGCACAGUAAGAGCUUGCUCUUACGGGUGGCGAGUGGCGGACGGGUGAGGAAUAGAUCGGAAUCUACUUUUUCGUGGGGGAUAACGUAGGGAAACUUACGCUAAUACCGCAUACGACCUACGGGUGAAAGCAGGGGAUCUUCGGACCUUGCGCGAUUGAAUGAGCCGAUGUCGGAUUAGCUAGUUGGCGGGGUAAGGGCCCACCAAGGCGACGAUCCGUAGCUGGUCUGAGAGGAUGAUCAGCCACACUGGAACUGAGACACGGUCCAGACUCCUACGGGAGGCAGCAGUGGGGAAUAUUGGACAAUGGGCGCAAGCCUGAUCCAGCCAUACCGCGUGGGUGAAGAAGGCCUUCGGGUUGUAAAGCCCUGUUGUUGGGAAAGAAAAGAAGCAGGUUAAUACCCCGCUGUUCUGACGGUACCCAAAGAAUAAGCACCGGCUAACUUCGUG
rnacentral:rRNA from 1 species